CGCCGAGCCGCCGUCACAGCACGGUCGCGGCGCGGUCCCCGCAUCGGGACGCCGAGACGAUCCCGCAACAAGGCGAGGAGGAGAAGCGCACAGCGAGUGCUUAAAGUGUCAUUUAAGUCCGUAAUUCAGAUCUAGAGUCCACGCGUCUACCUGUCAAAGCCCCCGGCCCGCCCUAACGAGGCCCAUCUGUGCUAAUGACACAACGACCCCCAGGUGCCGGGCACAGCUGCGCCUCGUCCGGAGCCGAGCGCAACGCUCGCCCCAAAGCCUCUUAAGCUCCUCCGGGGGCUACCGGGAGCCACGAGGGCGCUCUGCGCAGUCCCUCGCCGGGAGGCGAUGGAGGAGGCUGCAGGAGGGCGUCGGGAUCCGCCCCGGCCGGUGAGCCGUACCGAUAGCGAUGGAGGUGGUGAGCGCUCGGCGGUCCUUGGGGGGCUUUCCGCCUGGGUGAGUGCUUCAGUUUGUUCUGCUCUCAUCAGCGGGAGUGAGCGAGACGGGGCUGUGCUUCUGCGGCCUCGGCACUGCUGGGAGAGAGGAGCAACACGAAGGGCUGCUAAAACCAGGUGUUCUCCUACUGCAGCUGCAGCAGAGCCUCUCUUCAUCCCAAACCAGCGAGGUUGUGGAAGUGUUGAGAGUUUAGGAGUCAGUAGAAGGACAAUCCAGCAGGGUGAUGGAGUUGCUUUUCAGGUGAGAGAGCUGGAAAGGAUUGAGCCCUGCCUAGGGAUGAAUGAACAACUAGAGGAGUGCUUGUGAGCUGAGGAUGCUCCUUGACGAUCCUGGAUCCCAGAGGAAAGCGUCUUUGAGGAAGGAUGCCUUCCUGAUUGCAGAGGAGGCGGCAAAGAUCACGUGGACAAAAUUGGUGCCCCCCAGGAAAGUUGUGUGAGGACGGGAGGAUAGCCAGCAUCACGGCAGCCUUCAAGAAGGGUGUCAUUUCCAAGGAACUUGAAGAGUUUGCUAUGAAGCAGUCAAGGUGGCAUCACUGAGGGGAAAUUGUGCUGCUCCAACCUGGGAGCGUCUGCUCAGAGAAGAGCAGGGGAUGCUGCAAGCCUGACUUCAGUGUUUCUGUUGGUGUUUUUGUAAUGAAGCUUAACAAGUGUGAGAUGGUGACCUGGAUGAAGGGAGAGUCUCUAAUGUCGGUGAGUGAGCGGAUGAUGCGAAGCUGGGAGGAGCAGUGACAUUCAGCGGGACCCCAUAAACUGUGGAGAGCAGGUCAAGCAGAGGGGAAAGCUGUACAUGGGGUCUAAUGGAGGGCAAUGAAGAUGAUGAGGGGCCUGGAGCAUCUCUCUGUGGAGGACUGGAUGAGGACCCUACAGCUGUUUGAUGAAGAGAAGGAUGGAGGCUGCAAAGGAGAUUUUUUUUUGGCAAGGAUCUGCCUGAACAUGAGUGGUGGAAUGGAGGAGGUAAGAGCCCUCAGCUGUGUUGUGUAGGUGUGGAGGCUCCUUUGUCAGAGGUUUGGUGCUGGAACAAGGAUUGCUGUGUGACUGCCUCUCCAGAGGGAGGUGUUUUUCCAGUGGAGUGGAAUUGAUGGAGCAUUCAGAAGUGGUGCCUUUUGGUGGAGCUUCACUUGGGCUGUAGCAGAGGAAUUGGAGCUGACUUAACAGGUUGUCUUCUUCAGCACUAUGGUGUGUCAGACUUGCUUGACUCACCAAAUGAAACCAGUACUUUUCCAGUGUUUGCAUUGUUGCAGCGGAAUUCCUGGAGAGAAGCGUUGCUUGAGUUUGGAAGGGCUUCUCGAGUGUGAAGGUAGGAGUGCUGUCCUGAGAGCUGAGCGGUGUUGACUCUUGCAAAAAGAUGGUUUCCUUUUUUCAGAUAGGUAAGUCAAACCACUGUCAGCAAACCAAUGGAGAAACCAGAGACUAGUGCAUCUCUACAGUACCCUUUGGGUUAAGUUAGGAAUCAGAAAGCAGCCUGGGUUGGAAGGAACCUGUGUCUCUAAGCUCUGCACUGCUCUGCCUCAACUUCAGUUGCAUCUCUGAGUCUCACAAAGCCUGGGGAUGACCAGUGUCAAUGACAGUUUGCAUUCUGGUUCUACUCAAUUUUCACAUUUUCAGAUUCAAAGUAACAAUUUCUACACUAGGAGGAACUUAGCUGUAACACCUGGGCACAAAUUACACCUUUGGAGACAAACUUCAAGAUUUGCAAACUUCAAGAUUUGUUUCCUGUAGGUACAGGCCUGAAUCAAACACCCCUUCUGUGUCACGUUGCAUCCUGUUUCCCAAGGUUUCCAGGUGACUCAAACAUUUUUAUCUUCAUUUUUACUGCAGAGUCAGCAGUUAGUUAAUACAUGAACUGAAAUAAAACAAAAAACAACCACCAACUGGAGGGGAAGGCAGAAAACACUCUUGCUGUGAAACAGGCUCCAGGCCAAGAUUGGUUCCCUCUGCUUGGUCCAGUUACAGUUCAGAGGCUCAUUCCUUGGAAGCAAAAUCUUAUAAGUAAACAUGGAGCUGAGCCUCUCUCUGCCCUUUAUCCCCUCCCACGAAGCCUAUUUUUUUUUUAUCCCAUUCAACUCAAAGGCACCCUCAGAACACUGGACUAAAUCUGCCUACAAACUGAGUCCUGUAAUAAAAUAAAUCUAACUCUGGUCACAUUAAAAUACAUCACAGACCUUCAAAGGAAUAGUGCUAGGCUGCCUAAUGAAAAAUAGAGUGCUUCAAGUGAGAUAAACCAACAUUCUGACCGUAAGCAAGAACAAACUGGGAUCGGGUGUCACAGGAUAUUCCUUCUCUCUGGGUUUUUGCAUAUUAACCAGCAGACAGAUUUGUGGAAGAUGACUUAUUGCUCUCAGUUUUACCACAAGGAAAAUACAUAAUGUUUCUAGCUGAUCGGUAACAUGAAGUUCAACUCUGUCCCAGUACGUUCAUGCAUGGCCUAACAAGUGAAAUUACUUAAAAGAGAGCCCUCGGUGUCAAAAAAGGCUUUACAAAAAUGACUCAGGGAUUUUUCAGCUACUUGCCCUUACUGAGUGCAGAGCCCUCUGUCCCUCUAAGCUUUAGCAGCUCUGUAUGACUAUUAUUGAAUGGGAACCUCCAUUAUCUCAGUGCUGACUGAGGUACCAAUGCCCAUUGGGGUGACUGAGGGAAAGGGCAGUGAGUGUUUGCUUUGGCUGCUUAGCCAAGCUAGACUUAUGUUAUGCAUCCUGAUUUAAAUGUAAUGUGGAGAUGUAACAUGGAUGCCCCAUCCCUGGAGGCAUUCAAGGCCAGGCUGGAUGUGGCUCUGGGCAGUGUGGUCUGGUGGUUGGUGACCCUAUGCAUAGCAGGGGGGUUGGAACUAGAUGAGCAUUGUGGUCCUUUGCAACCCAGACCAUUCUAUGACAAGUGAAUCAGACUUUAAACAGAGGAAAAUAAAAAAGAGGAAAGCAUAGAUGUCACGUACAAACAUCUGAGAAAAUAUCUCAGAAUUGACAAAAACAAAAAAAAUAAUCUGAGCAAAAGUUAACAUUUGCUCCUUUUUAUUUUGAGCAAUGUUAAAUAUAGUUUCCCUGCACUUUGCAGUGUCAGCUAACAGCCUGCUAUAUCCUUAGCUCAGCCAUAGCUGGAAGGAUCAGUCCCUUUACAGACACCCACACAGUCCAUCUUUCCCCGCCCCAUUGGCCACCAGUUCACACACACAAGGAAUCAUCCAGUAGGUACAAUGGCCAGUCACCGCUGCAGCUGUUGCUGUGCCUUUGAAGGAAACACAAAGUUACUGCUUGUCUUUCUUCCCCUCUCUCCUUUCUGAAGGCUUCUAGGCUGUAAGCGUGCAGGAGAAAACUGGAACUGCUUAGGCCUCCCUUGCAACAGUUUGGUUUCUGAACAAAGUUAUGAAACUAAGAGAAGAUACGGGCUUCUUCAUCAACUUUUUUAAAACACCAAAGAAAAAUCAUGUUUAAAGGUGAUGCUAUUAGCCGAAGACAACAGAAAAAGGGUGGCAACUUUCCCUAUAGAGAGCUCAAGAUGUGUGUGUCGUCAAUGCUUCCGGGACCCCUCCUGGGCUUCAGCAAGCACGCAGGCCAUGGCUAACAUUUCCAACCCUGAAACCCAGCCCUCCAAGAAAAGAGUAAAUCAAAAUACAUAACAUAGGGUGAUGCAGGGCUACUUCUUUCAUUUCAUCUUCACAGCACAGAGCUCUCUCUGCAAGACAGAUACGCAAGUGUAUUAAGCCCACUGACACCUCUCCAAAAGCUUAUUUGCUGGCUAAUUAGACAGUUGAAAAGAUCAACAGGUCGAUGGAAUUGAGAUAACGCUAUCCAAUGUAAUUACUACAAUUGCAAUAUUUUAGGAAUUGAAGAACAACUCCAUUCGACCUAUGCCAAAAAGCCUAUAUACAGAAGUCCGUACUUAGGUGGUUAUUUUUCUCUAUCGGUUCAUAAUUGCCUUCUGUUUUUAAUCACAGCUUCUUUCUCCAACUGUUGCAAAGAUGGCACUGUUGUUUUUUCCUGCGUAGCCUGAAGUCCCCAGUGGCUACAGUCCACUUCUCUCCACCGCUGACGUUUAAGGUGCUGACAGCCCCCAAGCGCCCGAGGGAUCCUGCUGUCUUCGGCAAGGUCUCAUUUCAUUUAAUUUCAUAUUUAAAGCUUCCGUGACCUUUUUGAACAUGUAAAUGAUAAAAAUACUUUCACACACGGAUGUAUCGAGCGCCACGUCCACCUAGGCUUGUUAAUAAACCUCGUUGCUCUGUUUCUGCUGGCCCGUGGCUAUAUUAGCUGUCUGCUCGCCUUAUUUGUGAGAUAUAAAUAGCCAGGGACUGCACACUCGCUGUCUAGUUACAUCGAGAUAACAGUGAUUUUAAUACUCUUAAACAAGCCUGUCUCCUGACGUGGGUCUGUCCAGAACGCUCACUCUUACCUAUCUUCCUUCUUCGUGUUUGAGUGGGAGAUUCGUAAGCAAAAUCUCUCAGCCACCAAACAUGCCAAUAGAAAACAAAAGGGCCACUGAAGGGCGUUUUUGCACUGUUCACACGCUGCUGUUGGAAAGUAAUUCUCCAUACCAUUUCUUAUGUUUGGGCUCAAUAACAUUUCAUACCCGUACCGCACAGUGGUUCUGACCCAGUCACGCUGCAUUGGCCUGAAUCAGAAAGUCCCAGACUCAUCUCAGGGCUAUGCUGUAUCAUUCUUACUGCAAAUUGAAGAUAGCUGGUACUCCCUUCCCAAAAGGCCUCGAGCCUCAGCACAGUAAUGCCUUACAGUGAAAGUAAAGCAGAGAGAGGCAGAGAACUACACUCAGUAAGGGAUUGAACUAACAACAGAAUUUAAACAGGAUUUAGGUGAGGAUUGGCAUCUAAAUACACAGUUGUGAGCUAAAGACCCUUGGCUCUCAGGGCACCUCCUUCUGUGACCGAAAAGGUCUCUAGGGCCGCUGUGAGGGUACAGAGGGAGAACUGCAUCCUGGCUUCCCAGCAUCUAUUUUUCUGCUGAACUAAGUGCACGUGCCCUGUAAGGCACGCCCAGAGCACGCUGGACACCCUGCCUUAGCCCCGGGUCGCGCCACUUGUUCGGGUAUCGUUUGGGUAACCGAUCUUUCAGUGCUAAAUGCCGACUACAGCAUCCUCAGAGAGAAGCUCUCUCUCUUGGAGAAGCUGAUAGCCCUAAGCACAGCAUUACAGAGCGCUGAGAGUCCCCCACAGGAACAUGCUGCCCCUGGAGGACGGCUAGUCUAGUCAGGACCUAAUGCAAACCAUGGGAGUACAGGUAUCUGUGGAAUAACAUACCAGUUUGACUGUGUAUAAAAUGAGAUACAAUGAGUAAGUUCAUCAAGGAAAUUAUAGCCUCUGGAGAAAUCCUUUACAAUAGCUGCGAUGAGUAACAUCUCACUCCAUGACUCUGUUGACUUCCAUCUUCCCCUAUAGUUACAUGGAUUACCCUGGAAGCAAUGCCUCCUCUUUAUUUCUGCAGAAACUACAGUGAAUAAAAAGAGCACAAGAACACUAUUUGAUAGUGUUUUGUGGCUGAGAACUUGCUCUGCUUUUCAACAUAGUCACCGCUGCUAGCUAUAGACUUUGUCGCAUGGCUAUAUCUAAAGGACUUCUGCCGGGCACGGGUGAGCACCGUUGGACUAUACAAUGCUUGAUAGCUGGGGGCAACAGUGCAGUGGCUACAACAGAGAAGUGAGGUGCAGCAGCGGAUGCAGAAAAGAAAGAAACUCCUUACCUUUACAAGACCUGUAAAAUCCUCAAGGGGUGCAGAGAGCUCUAGAAGACAGUCUUUCUCCUCCCCCUGCUGGCCCUUAAAUGAGGUCUGGGAAGGGGUGGAUCCUGGCUCCACCCCUUCUAAUUGGCCGCAUUGCGUUCACCUGGGUUGGCCCUGGGUUGGCCCUGCCUUCCACCAGGUGCUCAAUCACUGCUUCGGACCAUGACUUGACGUCUCUUAUGCAGACAUCAAUAAAAUCUCUGACUUGAUUUUUGGCUGCGUAAGAAACUGUACGUCAGAGUCAUGGUUUUCUUCCAGUUCCUCUCUACUGAGUUCACUGCUUCUUCUUUACUUGUUAUUCAGUGCUUGCUGUCUUCCCAUCAGCAGCCGUCCACCUUCGAAGCGAUUGGUGUCAGAUGUCAUUUCUCAUGGCCGGUUUCCCUGGCUUUCACCAAUGCAAACUGCUGUACAACAUUUGCACUUUGGAGCGGUUCGAAGCAGUGAUUUCCAUUUUCAUACCCUCGUGCGCUUCGUUCAGUUAUUUCUUCUGCAGUACUUGUUGCCCUCCUUGCACUGAAAAAAAAAGUGAAGCAGAACUUCGAUUAGGUCUAUGCGAGUUAUCCUCCAGCCUGUAAAAUAGCCUUCCUGCACCAUAAUCCAUUUUCUUUGCUUCUGAUAGCUAUCUGUCUAAACAUGUCCUUGCUGUUUGUAUUAAAGUCCGUGCCCACGUGCCCAACGCUUUCUGAAAAGUGACUUCCGUUCUCAUUUUGUUUCCUUACGUAAUGGCGCCUACCAUCCAUUCCUCGAAAGCUAUGCUUUUUCUCCAUGCUACUUACUAACAUAAUCGUCCUUCCGGCCAGCUGAGGAACCUUCCCUGGCACUCUGUGGACGCACGGUUUGCCACUCAGGUUUUUCACAGGGUGCAUAAUCGUGGUGUAAUUCCUGUGUUUCGUGACUCACAGCACGCUCUAAACUGAAGUAACUCAGCAGGCUUCAAGAGAAGCACGGUUUUAUGGUCAGUCAGGUCCGACUAAACUGUUGCGUGCAUUUCAGAGCAUCCUACAGAAUAUUUGUAUUGUAUUCUAAAGAAUACAAGUAAUAUACCUAUUAGCCUGCCCAGAAACAUUCCUGGGGCAGCUGGGGAGAAAAACAGUGACGUGCCGUUUAGUGGCCUUGAAGCGGGAUGCGCGCAAAGGUCUCCUCUGGGGGGUAUCAAACGCAAGGAUAUAGUAUUGCAUUUAUUGUUCGGCUCAGAUCUCCAUUGGCCUGAGGUUCUUGACUCACGUAUGUUUGCACGAGCGGGUUUUUCACGAGCCUAUUCCUGCCUGCCCAGAUAUUUUUCCGUGGCACGUCAUAUUCUUUUGUUUUCCCCCGCUCAGAAGUGAAGUCUCUGUCAGCAGGGCUCUUCCUGUCUUUCUCGCCAGCUGCCUUCAAACAGAGAUUUUAACCGAUACUUCAGACGUUCAGGGUGGGUAUUCCCUUUCUCAUCCCUCUGGAAACUCGCCGAAGCCGCCGCUGUUUUAUUUGCCGAUACUGGAGGCCUAUUUUUAGAGCCAGAGCUCAAGGUGUGUCUAAACCAGGCCUUAAAUUUUUGGACCGAUCUUGACAGCUCGUUGUUAA
ensembl:lncRNA